UGCGUUUGCUUGCUUGUUAUUCCUCACGACACUCACUUGCAGCACUCUGUGUGUACGCUCGCUUGUGCCUCGCUAGCGCCAACAAACACGCAUGCACAUGUCAAUUUAUCGCAGCCGGCAAAAUUACUGAGUUUGUUUUUAUUUAUGGUGCGGUUAAUCGAUGUAUCGAUUAUCAUGACAGGCCUACCAAUGAGCAACACGUGAAUGACAGCUCACCUUCCUGAUGCCCUGCAGACAGUCGAGCACGCUCAGGUUGAAGGUGCAGUUCCCAAAUGAUGCAUCCCUGCACAAACACAAAAUCAAUAACUGUCUCACACACACAACUCUAUCCAAUUAUCUAUCUCAACAUCCAUCUAUUGUCUAAUACUUGUUUGUUUAAUUUGUCGAGUGUCAGUGAAAGCAGCAAAAUGUGGGCGUGGCCUCACAGUAACACUAAAUCCAUCAGCUGUUUAACCCUGCAGUUACAUAAUGCCUACCACACUUCGGCCUUUAUCUGUCUCUCUCACACACACACACGUGUUCACACACGGCAUCUUCUGCUCCAUUUGCGUAUUCUUCUUUUGGUAAAACUUGCACAAAGUGGAAACAAAUGGUACUAGGUAGAGGCUGGAGUUCGGACUCACCUGAAGGGAAGGUAGGAGGCGUUGGAUCCAGAGACCAGAGCUCUGUAAGCUUCUUCUGGGGUUUUCUUCAAAUAGAUCACCUGUCACACACGUUCAUUCGUUCAGGGGCUGUCAGGGGACUCACAGCAUAUCCUCCAAUGAGCACCGCAGCAUUGGACCUCUUCCUCUGGUCGAAGCUGGUGUAGUGGACGAUUCGUUUCCUGGUCAACGUGAACGACUGCCCACAGGAGACAAGGAAAAAAUAAUCAGCAAGGUUGAUGAGAUGGAAGACAGAAGUGAUAGCGACAGAGAUGCCGUCAACCUUCAGGUGCAUUGUGGACAUUCCAGCUCAGGGCGGUGGCAUGAGGAACUCACCUUGAGCUUCUUGUUCAGUUUGCAGCAGUAUCGAUACAACAUGGCCAAGUUGAGAGGACCGAAGUCUGCAUAGAAACUGUCCACACAACAGGAAGUUGGUUAUUCUCUUCACAAUAAAAGCCAUACUGAAUGUGACGCACAAGACUUACUUUUCGUAAACAAACUCGUCAUCCGUGCAAAAGUAGUGAGUGUUGGCCGUGCUUUUGGGUUUGCUUCGUAGCGUAGCGAAAUACAGACGCUCUGAAACAUAUUUGCAGGAUUGCGUUUGAUCAGUUCUGGAGACACCAAGGU